rnacentral:rRNA from 1 species
UACGUAGGGUGCAAGCGUUGUCCGGAUUCACUGGGCGUAAAGCGCAUGUAGGCGGUUGCACAAGUCCGUUGUUAAAGCCCCUGGCUCAACUGGGGGAGGUCAAUGGAGACUGUGCGACUUGAGGGCAAUAGAGGCACGUGGAACUCCCGGUGUAGCGGUGGAAUGCGUAGAGAUCGGGAAGAACACCAGUGGCGAAGGCGACGUGCUGGGUUGCACCUGACGCUGAGAUGCGAAAGUGUGGGGAGCAAACGGG